rnacentral:tRNA from 1 species
CGGGGCAUGGUGUAAUGGCUAACAUUCACGCUUUGGGAGCGUGCGAUUCUGGGUUCGAAUCCCAGUGCCCCGACCA